rnacentral:rRNA from 1 species
GAUCAUGGUGGCUCAGGAUGAACGCUAGCUACAGGCUUAACACAUGCAAGUCGAGGGGCAGCAUGGUCUUAGCUUGCUAAGGCCGAUGGCGACCGGCGCACGGGUGAGUAACGCGUAUCCAACCUGCCUUACACUCUUGGACAGCCUUCUGAAAGGGAGAUUAAUACAAGAUGUUAUCAUGAGUAAGCAUUUUCGCAUGAUUAAAGGUUUACCGGUGUAAGAUGGGGAUGCG